rnacentral:piRNA from 1 species
CACAUCAGCACGAUGUCUGAGUUGCCGCUC